rnacentral:sRNA from 1 species
AGAAGCUCUAGGUGACUUGCGGUGUUCUUUAUGGUAUUCUUUAUUGGCUGUUCUGAUGCUGUAUUUAACCACUAUAUUUUAACAGGCACAGAAAUAGGCUUCUAGCAGACAUCAGAGACUACAAGCCCUAUGCAGACUUGGUUUCAGAAAUUCGUAUUCUUUUGGUGGGUCCAAUUGGGUCUGGAAAGUCCAGUUUUUUCAAUUCAGUCAAGUCUAUUUUUCAUGGCCAUGUGACUGGCCAAGCCGUAGUGGGGUCUGAUAUCACCAGCAUAACCGAGCGGUAUAGGAUAUAUUCUGUUAAAGAUGGAAAAAAUGGAAAAUCUCUGCCAUUUAUGUUGUGUGACACUAUGGGGCUAGAUGGGGCAGAAGGAGCAGGACUGUGCAUGGAUGACAUUCCCCACAUCUUAAAAGGUUGUAUGCCAGACAGAUAUCAGGUAAGAUUUCUUCAAUAUCCAAAACAUUUCAAAUCAUUUUCUUCAGUAUUUUUCAUUGAAUUUUUAACCACAUGAGGCAAUUUCAACUCCCAUAAUGUGGUUUAAACAUCAAUCAACACUAUUCUACUUUGAAUGAAUAAGAAUUCAUAUGAAAAAGUAGAGUGACUAUUGUUCUUUUCUGUAACAUUGAGAAAUAAAGCCAAAAGGCAGGAUUCUACUCAUUUGCAUUCUAGUAAAAGAUCAAGGAGAUAGUGUGUUUUUAUCACUCUUUACAAUAAUGUAAACUAAUGAUAGUCAUUUAAUCCCUUGCACUUUUUGGGUUACAUAGACAAAAUAUUGGAACAAGUAACUAUUUUGUGUUGAAAUGUCAUUUUAUACUGUAAAUGCUUAGAUUUCACUACUAAAUACCUAGAUUCAAAAUUUGGCUGUGCUACUAACAGAUGUUUACCCGUAAGUAAGUUACACACUUCUCUCUCUCAGUCUUUUUUUUUUUU